rnacentral:rRNA from 1 species
AUUGAACGCUGGCGGCAGGCCUAACACAUGCAAGUCGAACGAGUGGCGGACGGGUGAGUAAUGUCUGGGAAACUGCCUGAUGGAGGGGGAUAACUACUGGAAACGGUAGCUAAUACCGCAUACCAUCAGAUGUGCCCAGAGGGGAUUAGCUGGUUGGUGGGGUAACGGCUCACCAAGGCGACGAUCCCUAGCUGGUCUGAGAGGAUGACCAGCCACCCUGGAACAGAGACACGGUCAAGACGCCUACGGGAGGCAUGAGGGGGGAAUAUUGGACAAUGGGCGAAAGCCUGAUAGAGCCAUGCAGCGUGUAUGAAGAAGGCCUUCGGGUUGUAGAGUACUUUCAGCGGGGAGGCGUUACCCGCAGAAGAAGCACCGGCUAACUCCGUGCCAGCAGCCGCGGUAAUAC